CAUUGAACGCAGCCAACAUCAGCACAUCCAAGUCUAAAUUCGUAACUAACAACUACCGGUACUCCGGAUCCGGAUGAAGAAUUUGACCAGAGCGAUCCUUUCCAGUAUUCUUACGCUGUUGAAGUUGACUCGACUGUUAAGGACACUCGCGUGAGGCAAUCGAAAGCGGAACAAAUCCAACAGGGCACUGCUGGACCCAUUGGCAUCCAGUGAAUAGGUGGAUUGUGCGUUGGGCGGAUGCAGUGAUUUGGCGGAUUGCUACGUAUUGCAAAAAAAAAAAAAAAAAAAUUCACUCCCCCACUUUAACACCUUCAUCAAGUGUAAGGAUACAAUAUCUUACA